UUUUUGCGUUAGGGAUUGCAGCGAAAAUCCUUUUGUGAGGCACGAGCAAAAGAUUGUAGUGUAAAGCCCGGCCGCAG
rfam:Zunongwangia atlantica 22II14-10F7 contig10, whole genome shotgun sequence.